rnacentral:rRNA from 1 species
CAGUCGCCGCGGUAAUACGUAGGUGGCAAGCGUUGUCCGGAAUUAUUGGGCGUAAAGCGCGCGCAGGCGGAUAGGUCAGUCUGUCUUAAAAGUUCGGGGCUUAACCCCAUGAUGGGAUGGAAACUGCUGAUCUAGAGUAUCGGAGAGGAAAGUGGAAUUCCUAGUGUAGCGGUGAAAUGCGUAGAUAUUAGGAAGAACACCAGUGGCGAAGGCGACUUUCUGGACGAAAACUGACGCUGAGGCGCGAAAGCGUGGGGAGCAAACAGGAUUAGAUACCCGGGUAGUCCCUGUCUCUUAUACA